AUGACCACUCUUACUUUUUUAUUUCUUUUUUCUUUUUUUCUUUUCUUUUUUUCAAGCCUGCCCUUCUUCGAAACCCCUACACCACACAUACCCAUACACAAAAGAGAGAAUUUUUUUUUUUUUGAAAAAUAUGUAGCAUUCUAUCCGUUUCAUUUAUUUUAUUUAAAAAUAGACUUAACUAGAAAUAUGAAUCAACUAGGAUUCGAACUUGGAACCUCGGGUACCAACUAGCGCAAGUCUUUUGCCACUUGCUCUAGGGGCGGUUCGAAGAGAGAAAAUUCA
rnacentral:lncRNA from 1 species